GACGAACGCUGGCGGCGUGCCUAACACAUGCAAGUCGAACGGGGUUGAGAGCUUCGGCUCUUAACUUAGUGGCGGACGGGCGAGUAACGCGUGAGCAACCUGCCCUUCAGUGGGGAAUAACGACCGGAAACGGUCGCUAAUACCGCAUAAUAUGUUCUUGUGGCAUCACGAGGAUAUCAAAGGAGCAAUUCGCUGAAGGAUGGGCUCGCGUCUGAUUAGCUAGUUGGUGGGGUAACGGCCUACCAAGGCGACGAUCAGUAGCCGGACUGAGAGGUUGAACGGCCACAUUGGGACUGAGAUACGGCCCAGACUCCUACGGGAGGCAGCAGUCGGGAAUAUUGCGCAAUGGAGGAAACUCUGACGCAGUGACGCCGCGUAUAGGAAGAAGGUUUUCGGAUUGUAAACUAUUGUCGUUAGGGAAGAUACAAGACAGUACCUAAGGAGGAAGCCCCCGGGCUAACUAUGUG
rnacentral:rRNA from 1 species